UUGAGAAAAGUGAAUAAAUUUGGUGAUUGUAUGCAAAGAACAAAAAAUAAACAUGCAAUGCAGUUGAUUCAAUUGGUUUUGAGAAAAUAUGGAUGAAUGGUGUUGUUGGGGUUUUACAAUUUCAUCUUAUCCACUCUCAUAUAUCUACUCUACUUAUUUAAUUCACUUGUUUAUCUAAUUGCCAUGCAUACUUUCUUAAUUACCCUUAACCCAAUUCCUUGGAGAAAAGAGCCUAUUACUAAUUACCGACUUGCUAUCCCUAGCCUCCCCUAGUAACCAAUAAUGCAAUGCAUUCUGAAGCAAAUACAAUUGACCGUCCUACCCCUAUCCCUAGGUGAUAUUGACAUAAUCAAGGAAUUUCCCACCAGUUCAUGACAUUAACGUUCCCAUAUCGAUAAAGACAAACAUCAUUUCCCUCUAAUCGCUCUGAGCGCUCAGCGGACCAUUCUGGCGCUCAACGACUUGCUUGACCCUUCUUUUCAUCAUUUUUCUCCUUCUUUCAUGGGUUUAAGUCCACCUUACUUCACUUCCAUCUUUAACUCAUCCAAAAACUCAGCUAAACAAUGCAAAACAAGCAUAAUAUCUCUAAAACCAACUUUUGACUCUCAAGAGACUUAACUAAGU
rnacentral:lncRNA from 1 species